UAGAAAGCAAGCCUGGGCAUAGAAUUUGCAUCUGCUGCCACCAUUUGUCCAUGUUUUUCCAGCCCCUUAGGAGGUGCAGCAGUUAAAAGACACUUGGAAGCCCUUUCCCCUAAAAGUCACCCCCUCUUUAGAGUCUUAAUAGGUCACUUCAGGGCCAAGUGAGACCAACUCUAUGGCACUCCCACCCCUAAUCUUUCUAUGGGCACUCCCCCUCAAAUCAGAAGUUGGGGGUCAGAGAAAAGGGUCCAUGAUAGUUGGUGCUCCAUAAGGGGGUUACAGAGAAGCCAUAAGCAAAACAAGGCCAGGAUUGUUUCUGGGUUGCUAUGGAAACCAGGUUCCCUCCUCCUGGCAGGAAGGGAGGAGCGCCUGAGGCCUUCCUCCUUCCACCAAUCCGAAAAACUGUAAAGGCGGAGUUUACUAAGGCCUGGGGAAUAGGGCUGUUCUUGGAGGACAAACCAAUCAUUCCUGUAGCCCGAGACCUGCCGGUCCAUAGCCCUUUGACCCCACCUUCCCUACCCUCUCACCUCAAUAUUCAAAAGAGGCUUUUUCCUCUCAUGCCUUGUCCUCUAUGGAGACCUGUUGCUUAGCAACCACUAGUGCCUUCUUCCCAAUAACUUGCAGGGACUGAGAGAUAAAAUAUCUGACUAUAUUCAGUUCCCCUCCCCUGUCUAUUUAUAUUUAAUAACCCAAGCCCUGUCUUGGGUUCCCUUGGCACCUGUUUUAAAGGGCUUUUAAAGGGAUUAAGCUGGAGCCUGAAGAAAUAAAGUUAUACCUGAGGAAGAACUUCCAAAGGGAAGAGUGGGAAAAAAGACUGGAGUAGGUAGGAAAGCUGUGGAAUCAUAUUCUCUUAAAUAUAGGUGGUGGGGGGGAGUAUUUAGAACUUGGGAUGUGGAGGGGGGGGUGUCUGGGUGGCUAAGUCGGUUAAGCUCCUGACUUUGGCUCAGGUCCUGAUCUCACAGUUUGUGGGUUCAAGCCCCGUGUCUGGCUCUGUGCUGACAGCUCAGAGCCUGGAGCCUACUUCAGGUUCUGUGUUUACCCCUCUCUCUGUCCCUCCCCUGCUCAUACUCUUUCACUUUCUCUUUCUCUCUCUCAAAAAAAUAAAUAAAUAAAAUAUUAAAAAAAAAAAAAAGAAAGAAUUUGGAUUGUGGGGAGGGGGUGUCCACAGGGAUUCCCAAGGGUCUACUCAGGACCUGGAGUGGACCAUAACAGGGCAACUAACUGGGCUGGCAAUUUCCACUCCCCACCCCCUGCCUUGCCUUCAUUUUCUGACCACUUCCAGUCUAGAGCCCUCUCAUAUUUCUAUAUGUGGGAGGCCCAUCCCUCUGGGGAUGUCCAGUUUCCUAGUGUCAGGAUGUUGGUAUCCAGGAGUGGGAGCUAAGUGGAUGUAUGCAUCUCCCAAAGGCCUGGGUAUCUCUCAAAGUUUGUCAGUCACAGGGAAGGAGUUAUUCUGAACUAUCUACUAGAAAACCCCAACCUGACCUGGCAGUGGGGGCUGUACAGAAUCACCAAAAAUGAGGAGCAAGGAAGGCCUAAGGAUAACCUAGUGGCUGCAUGUCAGAACACCUAGGUUAGUGCCCCCUCUCCUUACUCUCCUGUGAUCCAAGUUAUUCACUUAAUCUUUUUUUUUUUUAAUUUUUAAGUUUAUUUACCUAUUUUGAGAGAGAGAGGGAGAGAGAAUCCCAAGCAGGCUCCAUGCUGUUAGCACAGAGCCUGAUGUGGGGCUUGAACUCACAAACCAUGAGAUCAUGACCUGAGCUGAAACCAAGAGUUGGAUGCUUAACUGACUGAGCCACCAGGCGCCCCCACUUAAUUAUUUAAACUCCUUGUUGCUUCAUCUAUAGAUCAAGAAUGAUAAUGUUUACCUCCCUAGAUUUUAGCGAGAUCAAUUAAAGUGAUAUGUGAAAGGAAACACUCUGAAAACUGCCAAAUUUAAAUAAAUAUUAUUUUAAGGUCUGGAAAAGGUCUGACUGCUGGAGAGAGGGAGAUGCUAUGAAUCCAGCCCGGUCCUUGGCUUAGGAACACUACUGGUUUGUUGACUAGAGGGGUGUGAUUCUUUGCCCUGUGGUCAUUGGGGUGGGGAGCUAUAAAUCAAAAUCAAACACAGGGCCCCUUACGGAGGGUAGCACAGAGUAUCCCUGUCAUCUUCCCCACCUCCAGUCCCAGCUUCUGACCUCUAGUUCUCCCAGCCAACACCCCACCCUGACCCUCCACCCUUCUCCCCAGUCAGCACCUUCACUGCCGUCAUACUAGAUCACAGACUGUACAAUUUCACCCUCCAUACCCCCCUUUUCGGCACCUCCUCCAACCCGAGCCUUCUGUGGGAGACAGAUGGGGUGUCUGCAAUGGAAAAGGCUCUGGGCUCUACGCCGCCUUGGGUGGGCAGCCCCCCUCCCAUCUCCCCAACUACUCCUGCUCCUUACCUAAGACACUCAGAUUCACCCUGGGCAGCUUUGGGAGCUGCUGAGGAUUCCAACACUCUUCCCUUCUCAGACUCAGCCCAGAAGCAGAGCCAGAAUGACAUCUUUCUCUGAGACCCAGCCCCCAGCCCCUCUUCAUGGAAUGCCAACACAAAGGAGGAAAUAGGUUAGGAAAUGGUAGGGCUCCAUGGGACCAAUGUGAAGAGGCAGGGAGGAGCCCAGAAUCCCUCACUGAGGACUGGAUGGCUAGGGGUUGGGGUCUGAGUUGACAGAAGAGGCUGAGACUAAGCGGCCCCUUUGUUUCAGAAAUCUAGGGUCCCUGGAGGGAGGACUCAGCUUGGGGAGGGGGGAAAGGGAGCUAACAUUACAGAGCACCAACUGUGAGCCAGGCACAAUGCCAGAGACUUCCCAUACCUGUACUCACAACUAGCAGGUGAGGUGUCAGGGUGAAUAGGUGUCUCAUGAGCUCUCAGCAUCUCUCAACACAAUUGACCAACUUCUCCUUUGAUUCUAUGAUUUCUCUGCCAAUUCUUCUACACUCUGGCUGCUCUUUCUCUGUCUCCUUUGCAAGCUCAUCCUCAACUCCUUGGACCCAGCCAAGUCCCCCGAUUAUACACUUUCACGGUACUGUAUUUUCUUCUUUCAGAGCACUUAGAACAGUGAUUUCACACUUAUUUGUGCAGUCAUUUGAAUAAUAAUAAUCCUAUUUCCCCCACCAGAUGGAAAGUUCCACGAGGACAGUGACCACGUCUAUCUGUAUUCACCAAAGUGCUCCCAGUGCCCAGCACAGUGCCUAGCAUAAAGCAACUAUUUGGUAAAUAUUUGUUGGAUGAAUGAAUAAAUGACAAAAGGACAUCCCUCUGGCCUAAACUCAGUUUUUUAUCUACUUCCUCACCCCAGAGUUGAGUCAUCCCCAAUGUAUGGACCAGAGAACAGGGUGCCUGGGAGGUCAGGCCACCUCAUUCUCCCUGGGAGGGGAGAAAUCAAUCAGGACAGGACUAAACCAAGUUUCAGAAUAUGAGGCCCCUACCUUACCAGUGCCUGGACCUGCCUGUAUGCUCUCCAGCUUUUCCAGGGAUGGAGAGAAUUCAAAGUCCCAACAACUCUCCAUGUGGGUCCUGAAAUCACUCAUGAGCUGGAGGAGAGGAGUUCCAUCAGAAAAGGGUGCUCUGAAGAAAACCCCUCUUUUCUGCCUUAGCUGAGACUGCAGAGACCAUCUGUUGCCACUCCUCUGUUUGCUCCUGUCCCAUUCCCCUGGACUUCAGAGAAGGAGAUGGUUUGACCAAGUAGGAGGGAUAGAUGGUGAGAACAAGACAAUCUGCUUGUUCUUUGAAAUGUCUGGAGCGAUAGUGAUGAUCCUCAGCUAGGUGAUUGGAGCAGAGGAACACAGGAGCCAGCAGCCAGUCCUUUGGGGCUGUGGUCUCUAGACCCUGGGAAGCAGGGAAUGGACAAAAUGACCUCUAGGAGGUGCCCAGCCUUCAGCCCAGGGGCUUUAUCUGACAUCUUUGCUGCCCUUGCCAUCCGACCUCAAACAAAAUACCUGAAUCUGCAGGAAGUUAAUGUUACAUCAGGCUUGGCAGCCCCUUCCUCUCCCAGACCACUCCCAAUUCUAGCCAACUGCCCAUCCCAGAGCAUCUCUCCCACCCAGCUUGGCAUCAAUACUCAGUCCUCAUGGUGUCUUUGACCCAGUAGCCUUGUCCUGACAGUGCCCCCCAGCACCCCAGUACCUGGGGUCAUGGAUCUGGAAGCCACUCUAGGCAUUGUUGCUCUCUCUGACCCCACCUGUUCUCUGGGUCCCUAAUGAAGUAGGACAACUCAGGCUCUGGGCCAAGUCCCUAUGUCCUCAUCAAAAGCAACAUCUGUCUCCUCAAAGAAGAUAAGCCUGUGGGGAAGGAGGUGGGACAGGCACAGGGGAGAAACCCCAAUCCUGCCUGGGCCCUCACCCCAAAUUCCACCGCAGGCACAGAUUGAGGGUGAGGGGGGAAGGCAAGACCGCCACAGAGGCCUAUACUCACACAUGCCCCUGUACAAGCCUUCAUGCCUCUGAGCCCCAAAUAUGAGGGCCCCUCCUGGGCUCACCCAGCUACCUGGGCUGCUGCUGCUGCCAAGCCGGCUUUCUUUUAUUCAUGCGUUGUUUUAUUGCUGGCAAAUGCUGCUGCUUGCCGCUGUUAGAGGCGUUCCUGCCAAAUCCAUCCCAACAUCUUGGCCUGGCAUCAGGGCGGCAUGCUAAUGUGGAAAUUUAAAGAGCCGCUCGGCUUUAAAUCGGAAUUUUAAAUGAGCAGCAGUGCUCCAGAGGGACCCAGGCAAAAUCGAACAGUAUCUGAUCCACCCUUCCUAUUCCCACUCCUGUAGCAUCACCCUAGUUCCUCUCACCUCUCCCCUCGACUUGGACACUAGAUGAGGAAGUGGCAUGGUACACACCAGGUCAGAGGAAUUGAUGCAAGAUGGUCAUCCCAGGAGCUGGGAUCCCUCAACUCAAGACCAAGAGGGAAUCCACCAGUUGCUGUCAUGGGCAAAUGGAGGCAGGGAACUUCAACACAAGGGAUCAAGGCUGGGGAUAGUGAAACUAAUAUUCCUACGCCACUUCCCAUUUUACCAGGAAACAAGAAGAGAAGACCCAGAGGAGGAAAGAAGGAAGAUGGAAUUCCAUGAAGACACUCCUGUGCAGUAUACACUUGUGCGCGCUGGGAUAUGUGCAUGCAGGUCAGGAUGCUUGCUGAAGCCCCGUGGAGCAUGUGUACACGCAGCUCACUUAUUACCCAUGCACGGAGAAGAAUUAUUCACAUAUGCAGAGCAGUCUUCCCACAUCCAGACCACUGUCCUAACCAGGUUGGUUUCUGCAAGUUGUUAGCCUGAGCCAUGUUUUUCCAUGAAUCCUAAUGCACCAAUGUUCCCCAGCUCCUGGCAGCUACCUUGAGUCAGCCAUGAUGGUGAUGAAGCGCCACAGCAACUCUGCCAGCAUAGGGGUUAGGGAUACCUGUGCUCAUCCUGUGCACCUG
rnacentral:lncRNA from 1 species